rnacentral:rRNA from 1 species
CCUACGGGCGGCAGCAGUGGGGAAUAUUGGACAAUGGGGGGAACCCUGAUCCAGCCAUGCCGCGUGUGUGAAGAAGGCCCUCGGGUUGUAAAGCACUUUCAGUGAGGAAGAACGCCUGGUGGUUAAUACCCAUCAGGAAAGACAUCACUCACAGAAGAAGCACCGGCUAACUCCGUGCCAGCAGCCGCGGUAAUACGGAGGGUGCGAGCGUUAAUCGGAAUUACUGGGCGUAAAGCGCGCGUAAGUGGCUUGAUAAGCCGGUUGUGAAAGCCCCGGGCUCAACCUGGGAACGGCAUCCGGAACUGUCAAGCUAGAGUGCAGGAGAGGAAGGUAGAAUUCCCGGUGUAGCGGUGAAAUGCGUAGAGAUCGGGAGGAAUACCAGUGGCGAAGGCGGCCUUCUGGACUGACACUGACACUGAGGUGCGAAAGCGUGGGUAGCAAACAGGAUUAGAUACCCUAGUAGUC